GGACCACUUCUAAUUCCCCAUGCACCAUCAAAAGACUGCAUUAUUAAGGGUUAUCAUGUACCACAAGGCACAAUGUUGAUAGUCAAUGCUUGGGCUGUUCAUAUGGAUCCUAAGGUAUGGGAGGACCCAACAAGUUUUAAGCCAGAGAGAUUUGAAGAUUUAGAGGAUGAGGCUCAUAAAUUGAUUCCAUUUGGUUUGGGGAGGAGGGCAUGUCCUGGAUCUGGACUAGCAAAUAGAGUGAUUAGCUUGGCCUUGGCUUCAUUAAUACAAUGCUUUGAGUGGGAGAGAACCAAUGAAGACGUAGUGGAUAUGUUUGAAGGGAUAAGGUUUACUGUACCCAAACCACAGCCAUUGGAAGCCUUAUGCAAAGCACGUGAGUCUAUGAUUAAUGUGC
rnacentral:misc_RNA from 1 species